rnacentral:rRNA from 1 species
GAUGAACGCUGGCGGCGUGCCUAAUACAUGCAAGUCGAGCGAACAGAUGAGGAGCUUGCUCCUCUGACGUUAGCGGCGGACGGGUGAGUAACACGUGGAUAACCUACCUAUAAGGCUGGGAUAAAUUCGGGAAACCGGAGCUAAUACCGGAUAAUAUAUUGAACCGCAUGGUUCAAUAGUGAAAGACGGUUUUGCUGUCACUUAUAGAUGGAUCCGCGCCGCAUUAGCUAGUUGGUAAGGUAACGGCUUACCAAGGCAACGAUGCGUAGCCGACCUGAGAGGGUGAUCGGCCACACUGGAACUGAGACACGGUCCAGACUCCUACGGGAGGCAGCAGUAGGGAAUCUUCCGCAAUGGGCGAAAGCCUGACGGAGCAACGCCGCGUGAGUGAUGAAGGUCUUCGGAUCGGAAAACUCUGUUAUUAUGGAAGAACAAAUGUGUAAGUAACUAUGCACGUCUUGACGGUACCUAAUCAGAAAGCCACGGCUAACUACGUG